CUUCAAGACCUCAUAACUUUUUUAAUUCUGCCUGAGGUCUAUAAUUUUGACUAAUGCAUCUUCGCAUAGGUCCCCGCCAUGCAACUAGGCUUAUGGUGCACGCUCGUCUCUAAAGGGAUAUAUAUUUUUCAAAAAAAAAAAAAAAAAUGCCAAGGACAAAGUUCAAACAAAUGACGAAUGAUGUGAAAGAGAAACCUACGAACAAAUGCGGUUUCCUCCGGAUGAAUGCAUUGACUAACUUAGGCCGGAUGUCCAGCGCGUUUGGACAUGCAGACGCGCGAUGAGUAACGGGUCUCCCGACGGGAUGAGAGAGGGCGGUCUGUGCUCAACGUCACAUGAACUAUAAAUAACAGCGCCACUUGCAGCCUGACAAAGUAACAUGGUUGCAUUAUCCGUACACAUGGCUCAAGCUGAGACGGUCGAGUUUGGCGUGGAGCAGGGACAGAUGCUGCAGGUCUUGAUGCGGCACUGCCAGACCAUGAAGCGUCAGGAGACACGACUGCGUCUGGCCACCGCGCUGCUGGUUGCAACAAUCUUCGCGACUUUGGUGUGGAUACAGUUUCACCAACAAAAUACUACGCUUCAAGACAGAUAAAUGCUUGCUCAGAACCACAGUCCAUCGAGUGGGAGGCCGUGGAUGAUGGCUAUGAAUCCCAAAAUUUCGAGCUGAAAAACCAAACAGUUCUCCACAUCUCCACAGAGGGCCUGUACUUGAUCAAUCUGAGGAUCUCUUACCGUACAGCCUAUGGCCUGUGUGAGCCUGGUAAAGAUUUCGUUUUAGUGGUCAGGGUCACACAGUAUCAUAGAAACUAUGAAAGCGAGAGAGAGAUCAUAAGUGCUGAGGAGUCUAUGAUUUGUAGAGAUUAUUGGUUUCAGUCGAUCACUAUGAAUCGAGCAAUCAGGUUAGAAGCUGACACUAGUCUCCGGGUGAAAAUUAACCAGAAAAGUUGCACGUUUGUCAGCUGGACUAAAAACAGUCAUUUGGAUGUCACUUAUGUCUAGAGUUGUUUGUUUUUUUUGUUUUGUUUUUUUUAACUUCCCGAUGGCAUUAAUGCAUAUUUGAGAUUAGUUAGAAACAGCAUUAAGCAGGUGUUAAUUUUUUUUAAUGACCUAAGCUAUUUUUAAGGUGCUUUAAGAAAUAACAAAAUGUUUAACCACUUGGUUAAUAUAUUCAGGUUUAUUGAGAGGCUUACUCUCAUUCUUUAUGUUGAAACUGUUAUUAAAUAACAUGUACUAUCCACAAAAGAUGCAGAUUUUGAAUAUAGUUGUUAAGUGCUGUGACAGCCAAAUUGCACCAAAAUGUUGAUAGCAGGUGAAAUUAUGUGUGUGUUUUAUGUUAAAACUUUUUAAAUGUGCUUUUACGAACUGAUUCAUUAAGAGUUGUUUGUCAUUUGAUUUUAAAAAUCAGGUCUAUUAAAUUUAAAUUAGAACCCAUCCUGUUCAUUGUAUUUACCUCUAGGUGGCAGUUGCAUACAUAUGCAUUUCAGAAUGUAACAUGAUUUUGUGGUUCACUCAUAAAUCUGUAGACUUGUCUUGAAAUUCAAACAAAUAAUAUGUUAUUUCAAAUAACUGUUUCAAAGAUUCAAUUUAUAAAGCCACUGUCAAUGAUUUAAAUGUAUAUCUAGAAACAACAAUGCAAAAAAAAAAAAAAAAAAAAAACUUACAGAAUACACAAAACACCAUGUGUUUAUUUCAGGUCACUUUAAUUAGCUCACGAUUGCCUGUGUGUGUCUCCUUGAUUACUGGAUCAGGAAACAUGCUGCAUUUUCUCUGUACUGCAUGAAUAAAAAACUUGUAGUAUAAGAGAAUCAGUCUUUGUGUCUGCUUUUGUUCUUUGAAGAUGUUCUGAUAGACUGUUUAGCAUUGAACAGAGGCAGUCUGUAAUCUGACAGACCAAAAUCUCUUUGGAAUAGUGAUUUUGCUGAAUACAUGAACAGAUCCUUGAGACCAAGAUACAGGAAAAACAAAAAAAAACAAACAAAAAACGACUGGACUGGGUGCUUCCAAUGACAAUUAAAUCCUGAAAAGUGAAACUCUUAAACUGAGCAUCUGUGCUGGAAAAAACUGACAGGAGCAGUGUGUACUAACCACAUAGUGUGUGGAAAAGUACACCUGAAUGAAUUCUGCACAUUAGAAGAUGAUGCUGAAUGAAAGACCACAUUCAUCUGGCACACAGCCCAGGGAAGAACCUAUUAUUAAACAGUGUGGUAUCUGUCUGUGACACACUGUCUGUGGUAUCUGUCUAUGUUUGUUCUCGUGUGAGUAUGAAGUGGGCUUAUUUGAUGUACAAUUGGGUGACGUGAUUGUUGACUCAAGGAAAGUAGUAUCUUUACCAUUCAAUUUCUAACAGGAGCAAGACGGAAAUGAUUGAAAGGUUAUUACUAAAGAUUAGGGUACUAAGACUCAGACUGCAAGUAUGAACUCAGACGCACUCAAGUGGACUUAUUCUCAAACUUGAGAUGACUUUUUGGACAUAGUAAUAAUGAGACAUUAAUAAACAUCUCCCACUGAAACCCAUUAAUUAAGAACUAAGACUUGACAAUGUGGACUAGAUCUGACAUUAAUUAGAAUAUUACAGUGCCUUAUUUUAGUUG
ensembl:lncRNA